rnacentral:sRNA from 1 species
CUUUAGCCCCGAUAGAAGUGAAAAUCCUUAUGUGCCGGGGUUCGGCACAUAAGAUUGUAACGGAUAGCGGGAACCCAU